GAUGAACGCUGGCGGCGUGCCUAAUACAUGCAAGUCGAGCGAACAGACGAGGAGCUUGCUCCUCUGACGUUAGCGGCGGACGGGUGAGUAACACGUGGAUAACCUACCUAUAAGACUGGGAUACCUUCGGGAAACCGGAGCUAAUACCGGAUAAUAUAUUGAACCGCAUGGUUCAAUAGUGAAAGACGGUUUUGCUGUCACUUAUAGAUGGAUCCGCGCCGCAUUAGCUAGUUGGUAAGGUAACGGCUUACCAAGGCAACGAUGCGUAGCCGACCUGAGAGGGUGAUCGGCCACACUGGAACUGAAACACGGUCCAGACUCCUACGGGAGGCAGCAGUAGGGAAUCUUCCGCAAUGGGCGAAAGCCUGACGGAGCAACGCCGCGUGAGUGAUGAAGGUCUGCGGAUCGGAAAACUCUGUUAUUAGGGAAGAACAAAUGUGUAAGUAACUAUGCACGUCUUGACGGUACCUAAUCAGAAAGCCACGGCUAACUACGUG
rnacentral:rRNA from 1 species